rnacentral:rRNA from 1 species
AUUGAACGCUGGCGGCAUGCCUUACACAUGCAAGUCGAACGGCAGCGCGGGGCAACCUGGCGGCGAGUGGCGAACGGGUGAGUAAUAUAUCGGAACAUACCCUAGAGUGGGGGAUAACGUAGCGAAAGUUACGCUAAUACCGCAUACGCACUAAGGUGGAAAGUGGGGGAUCUUCGGACCUCAUGCUCAUGGAGUGGCCGAUAUCUGAUUAGCUAGUUGGUGAGGUAAAGGCUCACCAAGGCGACGAUCAGUAGCUGGUUUGAGAGAACGACCAGCCACACUGGAACUGAGACACGGUCCAGACUCCUACGGGAGGCAGCAGUGGGGAAUUUUGGACAAUGGGGGCAACCCUGAUCCAGCAAUGCCGCGUGAGUGAAGAAGGCCUUCGGGUUGGUUAAGACGUACUUUGUCUAGGGAAGAAACGGGACGGGUUACGUAA